AUUCUGUGAUGAGGGCACUUUUGUAAUAACUCUUUGUACCUUUCCCAUGCCUCAUACAAUGACUCAUCAUCCAUUUGUUGGAAAGCAGUGAUCUCGUUCCUCAACUU
rnacentral:snoRNA from 1 species